CCUACGGGAGGCUGCAGUGGGGAAUAUUGCACAAUGGGCGCAAGCCUGAUGCAGCCAUGCCGCGUGUGUGAAGAAGGCCUUCGGGUUGUAAAGCACUUUCAGCGGGGAGGAAGGCGGUGAGGUUAAUAACCUCACCGAUUGACGUUACCCGCAGAAGAAGCACCGGCUAACUCCGUGCCAGUAGCCGCGGUAAUACGGAGGGUGCAAGCGUUAAUCGGAAUUACUGGGCGUAAAGCGCACGCAGGCGGUCUGUCAAGUCGGAUGUGAAAUCCCCGGGCUCAACCUGGGAACUGCAUUCGAAACUGGCAGGCUAGAGUCUUGUAGAGGGGGGUAGAAUUCCAGGGGUAGCGGUGAAAUGCGUAGAGAUCUGGAGGAAUACCGGUGGCGAAGGCGGCCCCCUGGACAAAGACUGACGCUCAGGUGCGAAAGCGUGGGGAGCAAACAGGAUUAGAACCCCAGUAGUC
rnacentral:rRNA from 1 species